rnacentral:misc_RNA from 1 species
UCAUUACAAAAAUCCCCACCGGUGGCCUCGGUAUUGCCCGGGCUGGCUCGGAUGGGGGGGCGCCGCGCCCGCCGCGGCGCCUGACGACCCACUCCCCGCGUACAUAUCCCUGUUGCUUCCCCGGGAAGGCUCUCGCCGCCCGGGGGAGGACCCACCCAGCGCACACGAUGCCGACCAACGCACCCAGUCCACCCCCCCCGUCCCACCUGUCUGAAGGCCAGCGUGGCCACGGAGGAGUAGGAGCGAGCGAGCGACGAGACUAAAGCAAAAAACUUUCAACAACGGAUCUCUUGGUUCCCGCAUCGAUGAAGAACGCAGCGAAAUGCGAUAAGUAAUGUGAAUUGCAGAAUUCAGUGAAUCAUCGAAUCUUUGAACGCACAUUGCGCCCCCUGGCAUUCCGGGGGGCAUGCCUGUUCGAGCGUCUCCGGGACGAACACUCACGCGAGCUGACUGCGUGGUUGUGGCGGCGGUGGCGGCCCCAGAUGGGAGGCCACCCCGGCGGAAUCGAUGGGCGGACGACCGCCGCGUCGCAGAGCGUGAUAUUCUUUGCUUAUCGCCUCGAGCGCGGAGAGGCUGCCAGCCCUGGCCAGACGCCUGCCGCGUCGCUGAGCGCGGUACCUCGGUAUCGCCUCCGGCACUGCAAGGCUGCCAGACCCAUGCCACGUGCGGGGCCUGGGAGGCUGGCAUCACAUGACAUUGGAACUCCUC